GUAUAGUUCAGUGGUAGGGCAUUUGCCCAGCAUGCAUAAGUCCCUGGGUCCAAUUCCCAGUAC
rnacentral:tRNA from 1 species